rnacentral:tRNA from 1 species
GGGCCGGUAGUGAAAUCUGGUAUCAUAUUCCCUUGGCUUGGGAAAGAUUCCGGGAAAUUGUGAGCAAGGUUCACUAUUCGGAAAUUCAAAUCCCGGCCGGUCCA